rfam:Triticum urartu cultivar G1812 contig250838, whole genome shotgun sequence.
GUAGUAUUCCCUCCGUCCCAAAAUUCUUGUCUUACAUUUGUUUAGAUACGGAUGUAUCUAACACUAAAAUGUAACUAGAUACAUCCGUAUUUAGACAAAUUUAAGAUAAGAAUUUUGGGACGGGGGGAGUACAAA